UACGUAGGGUGCGAGCGUUGUCCGGAAUUAUUGGGCGUAAAGGGCUCGUAGGCGGUUUGUCGCGUCGGGAGUGAAAACUCAGGGCUUAACCCUGAGCCUGCUUCCGAUACGGGCGGACUUGAGUACUGCAGGGGAGACUGGAAUUCCUGGUGUAGCGGUGAAAUGCGCAGAUAUCAGGAGGAACACCGGUGGCGAAGGCGGGUCUCUGGGCAGUAACUGACGCUGAGGAGCGAAAGCGUGGGGAGCGAACAGG
rnacentral:rRNA from 1 species